rnacentral:tRNA from 1 species
AUUUAUAUAGUUUAUAAACAAAACCCCUUAUUUUCAGUAAGGAAAAAAGAAUUAUUUCUUUAUAAGUA